rnacentral:rRNA from 1 species
GACGAACGCUGGCGGCGUGCUUAACACAUGCAAGUCGAACGGAAAGGCCCUGCUUUUGUGGGGUGCUCGAGUGGCGAACGCGUGAGUAACACGUGAGUAACCUGCCCUUGACUUUGGGAUAACUUCAGGAAGCUGGGGCUAAUACCGGAUAGGAGCUCCUGCUGCAUGGUGGGGGGUGGAAAGUUUCGGCGGUUGGGGAUGGACUCGCGGGUUAUCAGCUUGUUGGUGGGGUGGUGGCUUACCAAGGCUUUGGCGGGUAGCCGGCCUGAGAGGGUGACCGGCGACAUUGGGACUGAGAUACGGCCCAGAGUCCUACGGGAGGCAGCAGUGGGGAAUAUUGCACAAUGGGCGGAAGCCUGAUGCAGCAACGCCGCGUGCGGGAUGACGGCCUUCGGGUUGUAAACCGCUUUCGCCUGUGACGAAGCGUGAGUGACGGUAAUGGGUAAAGAAGCACCGGCUAACUACGUG